rnacentral:rRNA from 1 species
GACAGAGGAUGCAAGCGUUAUCCGGAAUGAUUGGGCGUAAAGCGUCUGUAGGUGGCUUUUCAAGUCCGCCGUCAAAUCCCAGGGCUCAACCCUGGACAGGCGGUGGAAACUACCAAGCUGGAGUACGGUAGGGGCAGAGGGAAUUUCCGGUGGAGCGGUGAAAUGCGUAGAGAUGUGGAGGAAUACCGAUGGCGAAGGCAGCCCCCUGGGACAACACUGACGCUCAGGCACGAAAGCGUGGGGAGCAAACAGG